rnacentral:rRNA from 1 species
GACGAACGCUGGCGGCGUGCUUAACACAUGCAAGUCGAACGGAAAGGCCCUGCUUUUGUGGGGUGCUCGAGUGGCGAACGGGUGAGUAACACGUGAGUAACCUGCCCUUGACUUUGGGAUAACUUCAGGAAACUGGGGCUAAUACCGGAUAGGAGCUCCUGCUGCAUGGUGGGGGUUGGAAAGUUUCGGCGGUUGGGGAUGGACUCGCGGCUUAUCAGCUUGUUGGUGGGGUAGUGGCUUACCAAGGCUUUGACGGGUAGCCGGCCUGAGAGGGUGACCGGCCACAUUGGGACUGAGAUACGGCCCAGACUCCUACGGGAGGCAGCAGUGGGGAAUAUUGCACAAUGGGCGGAAGCCUGAUGCAGCAACGCCGGGUGCGGGAUGACGGCCUUCGGGGUGUAAACCGCUUUCGCCUGUGACGAAGCGUGAGUGACGGUAAUGGGUAAAGAAGCACCGGCUAACUACGUG